rnacentral:misc_RNA from 1 species
GUACCCUCAAGCCUUGCUUGGUGUUGGGUGUUUGUCCUCUCCCCCGCGUUUGGACUCGCCUCAAAACAAUUGGCAGCCAGUGUUUUGGUAUUGAAGCGCAGCACAAUUUGCGCCUCGGGCCGACAAGACUGGCGUCCACAAAGCCUCUUUUUUAAC